GACUCUUAGAACUCUACGAGUCUCUAGGAAAUGUUCAUGGGGCUGUAUAAAGAUAGUUCCUAGAACUCUAGGAGGUCCCUAGACUCAUUUAGAAGAAGAGAAAAACUUUAGAUAGAUACCCUUACCUUAGGACCGGGAAGCUCUAGAUACCAUAGCCUUAGGAUUAGGAAGCCCUAGAUCAGCCCAAGCCCUUGAUCAAGAUCCAAACCCAAAUCUAAUCCUAGGAACCCUGUAUUUAACCCCAGAUCUGACACUCAACAAGUUUAUUGGUAUGCAUUCACUCCAUCGACUUUGAUUUUAGGGUUAUUCGCACCACGCGGCAUUGGCAGCCAUGCAUUUAGUUCUGAUUCAUAAGUCUGAAUCCCAAGUACUUUUCUGAUUCGUAAGUCUUAAUCCCAAGUACUUUUUUUACUUUUUACACUUCUUUUCAAUUAUUUUAUUCGUUUUCUUUUAUUUAACUCCCAUUGUUUUUUUCCUUGACUUUCUUUACUUUUUACACUUGUUUUCAAUUAUUUUGUUCGUUUUAUUUUAUUUAAUUCCCAUUGUUUUCUUCCUUGACUUUCUUAUUUGAGUCCCAUUUCAGUUAAUUUUUUUUGAAAACUUUAGAUCAUGGUCUAUGUGGUGCGCUAAGGGUAGUAGUACACCAAUGUACUUUCGGUAUAACCCUUUUAUUUACCUUCCGAGUCAUUUUAUUGUCAUUUUGAAACAUGUAACUCAUCUCUCCCAUUGUUUCUUUACCUUCCAAGUCCUUUUUUACUGUUAUUUUGAAAAAUGUAACUCAUUUCUACAAGUCACCACAGUUGGGGGUGGAAGCAAGUGAAAGCACUUUGGCAUCCACCGCGGUGCUCAAUGAGUUUUAAAAUUUUCAAAACCUUUACCAGGAUUGGAGUGACAAGAAGCAUGCACGUUACACGUGGACCCAAUCGGCUACUGACGUAGGACUAUUGGAUUGUCGUUGCCUUUGCCUGGAAACUGUUCGAGCAAAUUAAGGACCGUCCAGCCCUACUUCCAGGCGACCCAAAACUGGUUGGAUUUGGGCCGUAUGCGGCCAAAAAAAAAUAAUAAAGUGCCUGCAUGUGGCACAUCAUGCAAUUAACAUUCCGCAACAUUAAUGGCGUUUGUAGCCUGCGUGAUAUCUUUGGAACUUUGAGCAUACGUUGUUACCCGUUGGUUUGCCCGAAAUGUUCUUUUGCAAGAUUUUAAGAGAAAAUUGAUUCAGAUGAAGAUAAAAUAGGAGAAGACACAAAUCAGGAAAAUCGAAUUCACUCUAAAUCAGUCGGGAUCAAGAGCUUUCCAUUAAAAUUGGAGUUCCAGAGGAGUACCAAGGGACCUUCCCUUGUUUUAUUUGCAUUUAGGUUUGGUUUGGCAAAACCCAAAACAUCUUUGAUCAGUGGACCACAAUGCAGAAGAGGAGUCGAACUGACAAGAUCCGAAGUUCACCUAGUCAUUCAGGAAAUUUCCCGUCAAACUUGGAGGAGAAAAGAGGUGAAGGCCGAUCCACUCCUUCAGAGAUGAGAACAAGAAGUCAUUUUCUUUUAUUGUUGGAUCAUGAAAGGUAUGUUUACAUCUCCUGUUUUAUUCUUGUUUUUCGGUAAUCAUGAACAACGAUCCAAAAAAGAUUUACAUGUUUUUUUAGGUUCUUGAAUCUGUAAAUCUGUAGUUUAUUUUUACAUAUGGUAUCAGAGUUGUCGUUCUCUUGGUCAUGAAUACCGAAAACCAUAAAGUGUUCAUAUGAACAAUUUUUUUAUGAUGGUCGACGCAGGGCAUUACUUUC